ensembl:lincRNA
CAUUUUUGCUUCUUGGAUAUAUUGACACACUAACAUGCGCUGAAUCUUCAAAAGAAGUGCCUCAUAUAAGAUAUCAUUUUCCAAACUUGCUUGCUCAUAAAGGUUUUUUUUUUUAACAUUUAAUUUGUGUGUGUGUGUGUGUGUGUGUGUGUGUGUGUGAAAAACAUUAAUAGACCUGUAGAACUUACUAACAGUUGAACUAAAUGAACCCAGGUUUGCAUCUUGAUUCCAAACUUCAGCUGCAAGCAAAUUUCCUAAUAUUAUUCAACACUAUCAUUUCCCAAGGAAAGGAUAACUGGGAGAAGACUGACCAGGGGUAGAACCCAGCCCUCUGCAUUGAAAGGGCAAGUCUGGAGUGCCAGGGAAGUGCUUAAACACUUACUUUCAAAUGUACAAAAAUAGCAGAACCCUACUUCAUGACUGUUGGAUUCCUAUAUCCAACUUCUACUCGCUAUCUGCACUAGGAUUUGCACUGUUUACACAAGAUAGAGGUAAUGGUUUUCUUUCUGCUGAUUUCUUUUGACUCCUCACCCCUUCUCCAUCUUCAAACCAUCUUCCUUUCAGAUUAUAAUGCCAGGACUCUACCCCCAACCACUCAGGAGAAAGUCUUGGUCUCUGUCUCUCAUACCCACUCUCCCUUCCCCACCUAGUCCUGCCACCUCUGCUUUCAAAAUGCCCCAAAUCAAACCAUGCUUUCCCAGGCCAAAGACCACAGCUGGAGCCCCUGUCGGCAUUACCAUUUCUCACUUGGAACUGCUAACCCCUUCCCGCUCCCACGCUUAUCCUCUUUCUGUUCAUGUUCUAGAGGACAACCAGAGUUGCAAUUUCAGAUGCAAAUACAAGGUUCCAAAAAUGUCCUGCCUCUCGCGGUGGCGGAGUCAGACAGGACCAGCUGAUGCAGUCAUUACAGAGAUGGAGCAUGGUAUCAGUGGAAUCCCUGGUCCUUGGAAUCCUCUGAACUCCAGGAAACAUGUUCUUCAAGCCCUACCCUCCGGGAAGCCCCUAAAGUAUCCUUCCUGUCUUCUGUACGGAAUGUUUGUGUCUCCUCCUCCACUCAAUUCACAUGUUGAAGCCUUAAUAUUUGAAGGUGGGGCCUAUGAGAUGAUGAAGGUCCUAAGGUUGAGGUGCUCAUCCAACAGGGCUGAUGGCCUUCUGAGAAGGGCAAGAGACACCAGGGCUCUAACCCCAUCACGAGAGGACACAGGAGAAGGCAGCCCUCUAAGGCCGUGAAGAAAGCUCUCAUCAGCAAUACUAUCAGCUCCACCUUGAUCUUGGACUUCCCAGGUCACAGAACUGUGAGAUACAAAUUUCUGUUGCUUAAGUCGCCCAGUGCCUGCUAUUUUGUAAUGGCAGCCCAAGCUAAGAUAGGAGGUUAACACGCUUUUUCAAUUAAAAAAAAUUGAUUUCACAGCCAAAUCUUUGUGUCCAUUGCUUCUCGCACAUAGUUCAAAUGCCUAAAUCAGUUGUUUCUUCCCACGGAACUUCUUCCUAAGCCACCAUCAGCGAAACUCUCAUUGAUAAGACUGCUGCCUUGAGCCAACAAGUGUCUCUCCCCACAUAUCCUUCAGCCUGUGGUCUUCCCUGCUUAUCAAGGGACCAGGUGACAGGUGUGCUAGGCACCAAGAUGCUAGGCAUCUUACCUUCUGCUUUCUCACCCUUGAUAUUACCCAAGUUUUUGUUCUCUGAGAACACACCAAGAAGAGAUUAGACUUGGAAAGGAAACAUGAG